GACGAACGCUGGCGGCGUGCUUAACACAUGCAAGUCGAACGAUGAAAUUCUGACGGAGACUUCGGUCAACUGAAGGAUGGAUUAGUGGCGGACGGGUGAGUAACGCGUGAGUAACCUGCCUCUCAGAGUGGAAUAACAUUUGGAAACGAAUGGUAAUACCGCAUAACGUCAUGGAACCGCAUGAUUCAUGACCAAAGGAGCAAUCCGCUGAGAGAUGGACUCGCGUCCGAUUAGCUAGUUGGAGAGGUAACGGCUCCCCAAGGCGACGAUCGGUAGCCGGACUGAGAGGUUGAACGGCCACAUUGGGACUGAGACACGGCCCAGACUCCUACGGAGGCAGCAGUGGGAAUAUUGCACAAUGGGGGAAACCCUGAUGCAGCGACGCCGCGUGAGUGAAGAGUAUUCGGUAUGUAAAGCUCUAUCAGCAGGGAAGAAAAUGACGGUACCUGACUAAGAAGCUCCGGCUAAAUACGUGCCAG
rnacentral:rRNA from 1 species